rnacentral:rRNA from 1 species
GACAGAGGGUGCAAACGUUGCUCGGAAUUACUGGGCGUAAAGCGCGUGUAGGCGGAUUGGUGUGUCAGAUGUGAAAUCCCUGGGCUCAACCCAGGAACUGCACCUGAAACUACCAGUCUUGAGUGGUGGAGAGGGAAGUGGAAUUCCUGGUGUAGAGGUGAAAUUCGUAGAUAUCAGGAGGAACACCGGUGGCGAAGGCGGUUCUCUGGGCAUUACCUGACGCUGAGGAGCGAAAGUGUGGGGAGCGAACAGG